GACCGGUGGAGGCAUCACCUCGGUCGGCUUGCGCUUUAUACUUUCGAUGAGGUGCAUAACUCCAGCCCAGAACCGGUGCCCGAAUAGAUAGCCUACGUUUAUUGCUCUGCAGUCGCUUUCAUGAUAGCCUAUAGGUAGGCUAAAUAAUGUUAGUAGGCUAUACCGGUGAUUGAUUUUCUUAAGUAUGAAGAAGAUUCCAAAUAGAUUCGUUGUGGUUCCAUUCCAUGUUAAGAUUAUAUUAUCAGUUUAGGUCCUCGUCAUUUUUUACCUCAUAGCCAUUCUAUCUAGUUUCGUUUGUUUAGAAAUCCGCGUGCAGUUUUAUCUGUUUAAGUGUUUAUCUUGGUUUGGCCAUAAUAACAUACAGUUCCAUCACUGCUUGUGCGUAAUGAUAGACUACGCUGAGACGGUAAGAGAGUCCACAGCCUCCCGUACCUGAAUGGUAGGCUAUCGGACUCGAUUUAGUGAUUAUAUUCUAGGGCUGUCGAUUUCCGUGACUCGCUGCUGUUUUGUGAACGCUUCACCGCAAGGACAGCGACUAAUAAACCGGACAUUGCCACUUUAAAAACAGCCCCGGGUCAUUCGAAAAGCGCAGGACCAGAUGCUGCAUCGAAGCAUGAAGAAAAGAAAACAGAUGAAUGAAUGAAUUUCGAGAGCAAAAUUGACAGAUAAAACGCGCAUAAACUGACACAGCAGUGAUAUGAUUUAUAAUACAUUGUCAUGGGCAGGCUCUCUUCUGAGCGUGAGGGAAUAACAGUGGCCGGACUCGCCUGGGCUGUUUGUUGGUAUGUGUCAAACCACAUACACGUACAUUACACACUUCAGACCUUUGCAACGAACCCUACGGCGACCCGACCAGAAACUCGGUCUCGGUACUGCUCUGUUGUACCUUUAAGAAAUCCAUUCUGUGGACCCUAGGCUUGAUUAACAUGGAUUCGGUUGGUUAAAGAGCCGUUUGGCGCCAGUCGGCUGACGCACCACAAUAAGAGCAGACUCUUGUCACUUCAUAUUUACCCUAAAAUCCUACCAGCGAGCGCCGUCCAAUCCCCCUUGCCAUCCACACCAAAGCUGCGGUUUAUGCUUUGCGUUUAGGGGCUGAGAAUGCACUUUCGGAAUGAUUAUUACAUUGCAUCAAAAUGUGAAAAUGUGGAUAUACACGGAACAGUCUGCCCAGAAGUUGAUCCGUCGCAUACAAGUAGAACCGGUUCCGCUCUAGCUCAAUCCAGAACAUCGUCACUUCGACAUAAAAACUGAAACAAAAACGAAUAAUCCUUCCGAAUAAAUUCGUCAGAUACAAACCACACAUUUCCGAUUAACCAUUAUAUUGCCGGUUGAAUCGGUGUUUUGUGUAGGUCUUACAUUUCUUCCUUAAUUAACAGUGUUCGCACAUCUCCAUUGACAUUAGUGUCAAUAGAAUAUUACACAUUCCUUUCCAAGUGCAUGUUGAGAGCUUGAAGGAUUUACAUUAGAUUAAAAAAACGGAAUGAAAUUAAACGUAAUCUAUGCUUAAAAGUAGCCUACUUUUGAGAGUUUCACACAUUUUGAAUGGUAUAAAGUGCAAUAGCUAUUGACCUUGUUUGGUGCUCUGUUCUAGUGCAUUUUACUAUCUUAUUCCAGCCCUUAUUCAUAUUCAUAUGAUGUGAUUAGUCAUGUAUCACUAAUGGGAAAAUAAAAUAUUACCCACC